GAUGAACGCUGGCGGCGUGCCUAAUACAUGCAAGUCGGACGGAGCGCUUCGGCGCUCAGUGGCGAACGGGUGAGUAGCACAUGGGCAACCUGCCCUUCAGAGGGGGACAACAGUUAGAAAUGACUGCUAAUACCGCAUAAGCGCACAGUAUCGCAUGAUACAGUGUGAAAAACUCCGGUGGUACAAGAUGGACCCGCGUCUGAUUAGCUAGUUGGUAAGGUAACGGCUUACCAAGGCGACGAUCAGUAGCCGACCUGAGAGGGUGACCGGCCACAUUGGGACUGAGACACGGCCCAA
rnacentral:rRNA from 1 species